GACGAACGCUGGCGGCGUGCCUAAUACAUGCAAGUCGAACGAAGCUUUUUUAACUGGUGCUUGCACCGACUUAAACAACUGAGUGGCGAACGGGUGAGUAACACGUGGGUAACCUGCCCCAAAGCGGGGGAUAACAUUUGGAAACAGAUGCUAAUACCGCAUAACCACAGAAACCACAUGGUUUCUGUGUCAAAGAUGGUUUCGGCUAUCACUUUGGGAUGGACCCGCGGCGUAUUAGCUAGUUGGUAGGGUAAUGGCUUACCAAGGCAAUGAUACGUAGCCGAACUGAGAGGUUGAUCGGCCACAUUGGGACUGAGACACGGCCCAAACUCCUACGGGAGGCAGCAGUAGGGAAUCUUCCACAAUGGACGAAAGUCUGAUGGAGCAACGCCGCGUGAGUGAAGAAGGUUUUCGGAUCGUAAAACUCUGUUGUCAGAGAAGAACGUGCGCGAGAGUAACUGUUCGUGCAGUGACGGUAUCUGGCCAGAAAGCCACGGCUAACUACGUGCCAGCCGCCGCCGUAA
rnacentral:rRNA from 1 species